GACGAACGCUGGCGGCGUGCUUAACACAUGCAAGUCGAACGGAAAGGCCCCCUUGUGGGGUACUCGAGUGGCGAACGGGGGAGUAACACGUGAGUAACCUACCCUUGACUUUGGGAUAACUUCAGGAAACUGGGGCUAAUACCGGAUAGGAGCUCCUGCUGCAUGGUGGGGGUGGGAAAGUUUCGGCGGUUGGGGAUGGACUCGCGGCUUAUCAGCUUGUUGGUGGGGUAGUGGCUUACCAAGGCGUUGACGGGGAGCCGGCCUGCGGGGGGGACCGGCCACAUUGGGACUGAGAUACGGGCCCGACCCCUACGGGGGGGAGGAGGGGGGAAAAUUGGACAAUGGGCGGAAGCCUGAUGCAGCAACGCCGCGGGGGGGAUGACGGCCUUCGGGUUUGAAACCGCUUUCGCCUGUGACGAAGCGGGAGUGGCGGGAAUGGGUAAAGGAACACCGGGUAACUACGUU
rnacentral:rRNA from 1 species